rnacentral:misc_RNA from 1 species
CGGCCGAUUCUGCAUGCCUCUUGAGAACAUUUGAAAAUCUAGCUCGUGUAGUCUCCAACCGAGUAUCUUCGUCUUGCAAGAAAUUCACUUCUCCCAUCACUUGGUAUUGACGCAUCGGAAUCAGCUCCACUUCUCCUGGAAAUGGGUUCUUCUUUUGCCUCUUCCUCUGCGACUCUUCGGUGUCGCUGUCCAUUGACGCUAGUUAACUUAGAGAUUUGAUGGAAGGUAGAACUAGAAUUACAGUUC